rnacentral:tRNA from 1 species
AAGGUUUUAAGUUAAUUAAACUGAGGGCUUUCAAGGUCUUUAAUAAAUAAAUAUGUUUAAACCUUG